rnacentral:rRNA from 1 species
GAUGAACGCUGGCGGCGUGCCUAAUACAUGCAAGUCGAGCGGAAAGACGAUGAGCUUGUGCUACUGACGUUAGCGGCGGACGGACGAGUAACAAGUGGAUAACCUACCUAUAAGACUGGGAUAACUACGGGAAACCGGGGCAGAUACCGGCAAAAAUAUUGCACCACUUGGCUCAUUCAUAAAAUAAAGGUUUUUUCGGACUAAGAUAGGGAUCCGCGCCGCAUUAGAUAGUUGGGAAGGUAAGGGCUCACCAACGCAACGAUGCGUAGACGACCUGAGGGGAGGAUCGGCCACACUAGAUCUGAGACAAGGUCCAGACUCCUACGGGAGGCAGCAGUGGGGAAUCUACCACAAUGCGCGAAAGCCUGACGUAGCCACGCCGCGUGAGUGAUGGAGGGCUUCGGAUAGUAAAACUCUGCUACUUGUAAAGAACAAAUGUGUAGGGAACUAUGCACGUCUUGACGGUACCUAAUGAAUAAGCCACGGCUAACUACGUG